rnacentral:rRNA from 1 species
GCCCAGCAGCUAGCCUAACCAACAAACCUAAAGCCCCGACAUUAAUAAACCCGAAGAAUCGCACAACAAUAUAUUAAAACAUUUUAUUGCUGAAGUAUGGGCGACAGAAACAGAAAAUAGAGCAACAGACAAAGUACCGCAAGGGAAUGCUGAAAUAGAAAUGAAAAAAAUCAGUUAAGCACAGAAAAGCAGAGACUUACUCUCGUACCUUUUGCAUCAUGA